rnacentral:rRNA from 1 species
UACAGAGGUCUCAAGCGUUGUUCGGAUUUAUUGGGCGUAAAGAGCGUGUAGGCGGCCAGGUAGGUCCGCUGUGAAAACUCGAGGCUCAACCUCGAGAUGUCGGCGGAAACCAUCUGGCUAGAGUCCGGAAGAGGAAAGUGGAAUUCCCGGUGUAGCGGUGAAAUGCGCAGAUAUCGGGAAGAACACCCGUGGCGAAGGCGGCUUUCUGGGACGGUACUGACGCUGAGACGCGAAAGCGUGGGUAGCAAACAGG